UGAGUAACGCGUAGGAACCUGCCUUUUANAGGGGAAUAACAAUGAGAAAUCAUUGCUAAUACCGCAUAUGCCAUAAUUAUCACAUGAUAAUAGUGGGAAAGGAGCAAUUCGCUAAAAGAUGGCCUUGCGUCUGAUUAGAUAGUUGGUAAGGUAACGGCUUACCAAGUCGACGAUCAGUAGCCGGGCUGAGAGGUUGAACGGCCACAUUGGGACUGAGAUACGGCCCAGACUCCUACGGGAGGCAGCAG
rnacentral:rRNA from 1 species